GGUCCCUACGGGAGGCAGCAGUGGGGAAUAUUGCACAAUGGGGGAAACCCUGAUGCAGCGACGCCGCGUUAGUGAAGAAGUAUUUCGGUAUGUAAAGCUCUAUCAGCAGGAACGAGACAAGACGGUACCUGACUAAGAAGCCCCGGCUAACUACGUGCCAGCAGCCGCGGUAAUACGUAGGGGGCAAGCGUUAUCCGGAAUCACUGGGUGUAAAGGGAGCGUAGACGGCUGAGCAAGCCUGAAGUGAAAUGCGGGGGCCCAACCCCCGGACUCUUUUGGGGACUUUCC
rnacentral:rRNA from 1 species